GGAACGUACCCAGAUCUAAGGAAUAGCCACUGGAAACGGUGAGUAAUACCUUAUACGCCCUUCGGGGGAAAGAUUUAUCGGAUUUGGAUCGGCCCGCGUUAGAUUAGAUAGUUGGUGGGGUAAUGGCCUACCAAGUCUACGAUCUAUAGCUGGUUUUAGAGGAUGAUCAGCAACACUGGGACUGAGACACGGCCCAGACUCCUACGGGAGGCAGCAGUGGGGAAUCUUGGACAAUGGGCGCAAGCCUGAUCCAGCCAUGCCGCGUGAGUGAUGAAGGCCUUAGGGUCGUAAAGCUCUUUCGCCAGAGAUGAUAAUGACAGUAUCUGGUAAAGAAACCCCGGCUAACUCCGUGCCAGCAGCCGCGGUAAUACGGAGGGGGUUAGCGUUGUUCGGAAUUACUGGGCGUAAAGCGUACGUAGGCGGAUUAGUCAGUCAGAGGUGAAAUCCCAGGGCUCAACCCUGGAACUGCCUUUGAUACUGCUAGUCUUGAGUUCGAGAGAGGUGAGUGGAAUUCCAAGUGUAGAGGUGAAAUUCGUAGAUAUUUGGAGGAACACCAGUGGCGAAGGCGGCUCACUGGCUCGAUACUGACGCUGAGGUACGAAAGUGUGGGGAGCAAACAGGAUUAGAUACCCUGGUAGUCCACACCGUAAACGAUGAAUGCCAGUCGUCGGGCAGUAUACUGUUCGGUGACACACCUAACGGAUUAAGC
rnacentral:rRNA from 1 species